rnacentral:rRNA from 1 species
UACGAAGGGAGCUAGCGUUGUUCGGAAUCACUGGGCGUAAAGCGCACGUAGGCGGAUUUGCCAGUCAGGGGUGAAAUCCCGGGGCUCAACCUCGGAACUGCCUUUGAUACAGCAAGUCUUGAGUUCGAGAGAGGUGGGUGGAAUUCCUAGUGUAGAGGUGAAAUUCGUAGAUAUUAGGAAGAACACCGGUGGCGAAGGCGGACCACUGGCUCGACACUGACGCUGAGGUGCGAAAGCGUGGGGAGCAAACAGG